UAGGGAAUCUUCGGCAAUGGACGAAAGUCUGACCGAGCAACGCCGCGUGAGUGAAGAAGGUUUUCGGAUCGUAAAACUCUGUUGUUAGAGAAGAACAAGGACGUUAGUAAUUGAACGUCCCCUGACGUUAUCUACCCAGAAAGCCACGGCUAACUACUUGCCAGCAGCCGCGGUAAUACGUAGGUGGGAAGCGUUGUUCGGAUUUAUUGGGCGUAAAGCGAGCGCAGGCGGUUUCUUAAGUCUGAUGUGAAAGCCCCCGGCUCAACCGGGGAGGGUCAUUGGAAACUGGGAGACUUGGGUGCAGAAGAGGAGAGUGGAAUUCCAGUUGUAGCGGUGAAAUGCGUAGAUAUAUGGAGGAACACCAGUGGCGAAGGCGGCUCUCUGGACUGUAACUGACGCUGAGGCUCGAAAGCGUGGGGAGCAAACAGG
rnacentral:rRNA from 1 species